CAGGCGUUUGUCCAGGGAGAAGGUGAGUCUGCCCUUCCGGAAGCCACGCUUCAGGGCUGAAAGAGCUACCUCCUGACUCAGGCUCCGGACCUCCAGCGUAGCCCUGUUGAAGCGGGUAAGAUAAUCCCGCAGGCUUUCUCCCUCGUUUUGCCGGACAUCAAAGAGGGAGUCGGAGACCAGUCGCCGCCGGCUACUGACGGCGAAAUGAGUGACGAAGAGGCGAGUGAACUGGUCGAAGGACCGGAUUGAGUCAG
rnacentral:lncRNA from 1 species